GAGAAGAGGUACCCUCUUGCAGCGCAGAGCAAUUACUGCGCAGAGCUGGAGGAGCUGCAAGAAUUAUUACACUUUCCCGAAGAGGUCGCUUUACGCUUGGCUGACACAGAAUACCAACUCUUUUACCAGGUCCCACCGAUUGAUUACCUCCGUCAGGUGACGUUAGAUUUAGGCGGAGGCACCGGAACUUCAUCAGAAACUCUUUCAGGGAACUCCUCAACAGCAAGAUCAUCAGUAGCAACACUAAUUAAACGUUUUAAUGAGGUUAGCGCUUGGAUAACACA